rnacentral:pre_miRNA from 1 species
ACGCCGGUGUGACCGGUGUGAUGCCCCCGGCAUCACACCGGUCACACCGGUGU